UAUAGGUACGCCGAUAUCCGCGUUUUACGGAACCGAUAAAUGUGCUAAAAUUCUGUGCCACGCUUUUUGAAGUUCACAUUUGGAGAGAUUUUUUAAAUAUUAAACUAAUAUAUCUCAUGGUUAUUACUUAAUAUGGAAAUAUUUUGACUUGCAAAAUUCGUACCAGUUAUUCUGAGUGGCAAACAGGUACUGUUAUUGUAAAAGCUAUCCAUUAAAAAUGAGAAUGAUAAUAUACUGCAUGUUAUUGUGUAAUGUCCCAACAAGUAACAUUCCAUUUCUAGUAAGCAAAAUUGGGCAAUAUUUCAGUGUUAUUUUUUCUCACAUUCCUUGUCGUAGCACUAUUGAGCAAAUGGCUCGUGAGCUUGGCAGUAUUGCUGAUCUGCAGGCAGCUGAAUGGAUCAUUAGUAAUACUCAUCUUACUCUUGGGUUUGACGCAACUACACAAGAAGGUGUUCAUAUCAACAGUAUUCACUUAACUUCAAAUGAUAAAUGCCAGGUAAUUGCUGUUGAUCAAUUACCAGGUGGGACAGCUGUGGAUUAUGCGAACCAUAUAUGUAACGAAGUGGAUCAUACAGCUUUAGUAUAUUCAAACUUUCACUUGAAACCCUUUGAAGAAUGUCGUCGUAUGGUCAUAUCAAAUAUUUCAAACACAAUGACGGACAGAGUAUCUGUUAACCAUCUUACAAUAAGAAAAAUUGGUGAAACUUGGGGUAAAAGUCUCAAUGAAUUAAACUGUCAUUUGCACCCUCUUGACACAAUUGCCACAUCGUGUCGUUCAGCAUUAAAGUCUCUAGAGCUUGAUAGCUGCGAAUUAUAUGGAAAUGAUUGUAUAGCUGCAAAAAUUGUUUUGGCUAUGAAUAAGAUGAGGUUCAAAGAUGGUAAAGGUGACCCAAAGGGAUUUGUUAAUUUUUUAGACAAUAAUAAACUACCACGAGGUAUCAUUCCAAGGUAUCGUGGAAAUCGCCUUCACAUUCUGUUCCACACUUGUUUUAUUUUUAUAAAACAUUAUAACAAAUUUUUACAUUUUUUAACUAUAGGAACAGUAAAAAUAAAAACUUUACAAAGGGUUCUGCGAGUAGCAUUUUGUAAUACAACUGCUAUAAAGCAAAUGUGUCUUCUUGCUUUAUUUGGAAAACUUCUUACAGGGCCGUGGAUGACAAUGUUUUAUGUGUCAUCUGAGAAAGCAUAUUUUGAUCAUGUUGGUGGUAUCCAGAUUGUUAAAAAUGUUGUGCAAACAAUUAAAGACUGCAAAUGCGAUCCAGCUGCAAUAUUUUGCAGAACAACAGAUUUUUUUGGAAAUGCUCUCAAAGCAAAUGUGUUAGAACCAUUAACAAAAAUAUGUAGAAUUGAUGACGAGCUCAUUGCCAUGAUCUUGGCUUGCCUCAAUGCAAUAGAAGUGGUUUUAAAUCGACAGUAUAAGCGCUAUUUUUCCAUUACCAUUACAGAAGCACUUGAAAAAGAAACAGCUAGUGCAAGGCUUCAUAACAUAGAUAGUGAAGAGUUAAUGGGAAUGUUCAGUGCUGCAAAAGGAAGAUCUCCUAAUGCAUCUAUUGAUUAUAUAUCUUGCAAAUUACGAACCAAAAAGAAUGGGACAAUGGAUUAUCUGGAUAAUCUUGAUGACUUUUCUAGAAAAAUGGUAGUUCAGUGGUCUAUUCAGGCAGCACGUAAAAAACGAAUAAAAACUCGACUACAACAUACUGAAAUUAGAGCUGAGAUUUCUAAAAGACAGACUAUAAAACGCCAAAAAAUUGAUGAAAAAGAAAAAAGAAAGUUAGAGCAACAAUUAACAUUAUUAACUAUUAGUGAAAUUCUGAAUUUGUUUAAAAACUUAUCUACCAAGCAAAUUGAUGAUUUAAAUGAUGUUAUGUGUUAAAGAAUUGUUGGGAGAAAUCUUUGCCAUGAAUGGUAUGAUUCCAAUACAGCAAUGACAGUCUUGUAUAAUGGCAGAGUAGAAAAACUUAAAAAAGCUCAGAAAGAUAUUAUAUACACUAUUUCUUAUUGGACUAGAGAAGAAAAUGAUACUGAAGCAGUUGAUUAUUAUAUGAAAAAAUUCCAGCUAGUUGCUGACAUUGUAUCCGGUCAGAGGGGGAACCAUCUAUAACUAUCACAAAGCAUUGUGUGAUGUAUUUUGAGUUUUGGUUGUCAAAAAAAAAGGAAGAGGGGGGGCAACGACACGCCCCCUCGCCCAUCUACACCCUUGAAACAAAGGGUGCGCUGCUAGUGAUUUUGUAUAGUAGUAAAAUAUAAUUUUUGAUUUGAAUACUAGAUUUCUUUUUAAUUAUAAAGAUAAAUAUUUA
rnacentral:misc_RNA from 1 species